rnacentral:rRNA from 1 species
ACGCACGCUGGCGGCAGGCUUAACACAUGCAAGUCGAGCGCAUCCUUCGGGGUGAGCGGCGGACGGGUGAGUAACGCGUGGGAACGUGCCCUCUUCUACGGAAUAGCCUCGGGAAACUGAGAGUAAUGCCGUAUACGCCCGCAAGGGGAAAGAUUUAUCGGAGGAGGAUCGGCCCGUGUUGGAUUAGGUAGUUGGUGGGGUAACGGCCUACCAAGCCGACGAUCCAUAGCUGGUUUGAGAGGAUGAUCAGCCACACUGGGACUGAGACACGGCCCAGACUCCUACGGGAGGCAGCAGUGGGGAAUCUUGGACAAUGGGGGCAACCCUGAUCCAGCCAUGCCGCGUGAUCGAUGAAGGCCUUAGGGUUGUAAAGAUCUUUCAGCUGGGAAGAUAAUGACGGUACCAGCAGAAGAAGCCCCGGCUAACUCCGUG